rnacentral:tRNA from 1 species
GGAGCUGUGGCUGAGUGGCUGAAAGCGGCAGUUUGCUAAACUGUUUUAGGGGUUAAACCCUAACGGGGGUUCGAAUCCCCCCGGCUCCG